rnacentral:rRNA from 1 species
GGGUCAGUAGGUUGGUCGUGCCACCGGUACGUACUGGUCUCACUGAUUCCUCCUUCCUGAAGAACCGUAAUGCCAUUAAUUUGGUGUUGCGGGGAAACAGGACUGUUACUUUGAAAAAAUUAGAGGGUUUAAAGCAAGCUAACGCUUGAAUACAUUAGCAUGGAAUAAUGAAAAAGGACGAACGAUCCUAUUUUGUUGGUUUCUAGGAUUGACGUA